AUACAUUUAGUGUUUUGCUGUUUCAACAACAGUUAUGGAGACUUUAUAUUUUUUCAUGUUUAUGACCAUUUUGUCAUGUGUUCGCUCAGAUAUUGUGCUGACCCAGAAAGGUAAUGAAGUCAAAAAACCUGGAGAGUCUCUGAGACUGACUUGUCAAGGUGCAGGGCAGGACAGUGAUGGAGAUACUAUUACUGCUUACGGCUUGCACUGGAUUCGACAAGAGCCUGGAAAAGGACUUGAAUGGCUGGCUUACAUUAACGCUGGCAGCAGCACUAUAGAGUAUGCCAGCAGCAUUAAAGGAAGAUUUAUAAUCUCCAGAGACAACUCUAAACAGGCUCUGUAUUUGGAUAUGAACAACCUCAAAAUUGAAGACACGGCCAAAUAUUACUGCACUACAAGCACAAUGAGGAACUGCAUACUGUCACUUAUACAAAAUCCUCACCAAAAACUGUUCUGUUCAAAGAAUAAAAAGAAAAAAGAAAAACAAUAG